CGCGGCGAGACGCUGCGGAGACGGUUGGCUCAUUUGCAUGUCCCCGCCCCGCGCGGCGGCGGCCGAGCCUGCGGAGCCUGAGGCGGCGGCGGGGGCGGCUCCGCGCGCGGUGGGCUUGGGGUUGGAGAAACAUGACAACAAGGCGAAUUUCACAGGAGACCUUGGAUGCUGUGCUUCAGGAGAAAGCUGACCGGUACCACAUGGAUCCCACUGGCGAGGCUGUGGGUGACACUCUCCCGUUUAAAACUCAAGACCUUCUAAGGACAGCCCCAAGAGCCAGAGCAGAUGUGUAUGAGGAUGUUCCCGGUGACAGCAGAUAUUCUCGAAGUGGCUCUGUAGCUCGAUCACGAGGCUCUGGGAGAGGUGGUGUAUUUCCAGGAUCUUCCUUCAGAUCAAGCAACCCUUCUGUAAGUGACAACAGUUACUUCCGCAAAGAAUGUGGCCGGGAUCUGGAAUUCUCCCACCCUGACUCCCGAGAUCAGAUCUUUGGCCACCGGAAAUCAGGACAUUUCCGCUCUCAGGAUUGGAAAUUUGCAUUCCGGGGCUCGUGGAAGCAGGGCUUUGGCCACACCGUUUCCCAAGAAUCCUCUUGGGCACAGGAGUGUAGUCUUGGUCCUUCGGCCCUACUGGAGGACUUUGGCUCUUCCAGGCUAAUUGAGAAAGAGUGUCUGGAAAAGGAGGGUCGAGAUUAUGAUGUGGACCGUCAGGGAGAGGCCAAUUCUGUGCUCAGGGCUGCUGGCCGAAGUCUCAAGAUUAUUGACCAGGAGGGCACCCGCCAAGGAAAAGGGGAGACUCAGGGCCUGCUCACCCCUAAAGUGGGGGCUGGGAAACUUGUCACACUGAGAAAUGUGAGCCCCCAAAAAAUACCUGCUGUAAAUCGAGUGUCCCCUAAAACUCAGGGCACGAAUCAAAUCCAGAAACCCAUACCAGGUUCUGAUGUGACCCUGGGGACAAACCCAGGGAUGGAAGACAUCCAGUUUCCCACUCCGAAGAUCCCUUUGGGCCUCCACCUGAAGGAUAUUCGACUUCCCAGAAGGAAGAUGAGCUUUGACCUCAUAGAUAAGUCUGACGUUUUUUCAAGAUUUGGAAUAGAAAUAAUCAAGUGGGCAGGAUUCCACACCAUAAAAGAUGAUGUUAAAUUUUCUCAGCUUUUUCAGACUCUCUUUGAACUUGAAACCGAAACCUGUGCCAAAAUGCUCGCCUCGUUCAAAUGCUCUUUAAAACCUGAGCACCGAGAUUUUUGCUUUUUUACUAUCAAAUUUUUAAAGCACGCUGCUUUGAAAACACCAAGAGUUGAUAAUGAGUUUUUAAACAUGCUUUUAGAUAAAGGUGCUGUGAAGACCAAAAAUUGCUUUUUUGAAAUCAUCAAGCCUUUCGACAAGUACAUCAUGAGGCUUCAGGACCGGCUGCUGAAGAGCGUCACGCCCUUGCUCAUGGCCUGCAAUGCCUACGAGCUGAGCGUCAAGAUGAAGACCCUCAGCAACCCCCUGGACUUGGCUGUGGCCCUGGAGACCACCAAUUCUCUCUGCCGGAAAUCUCUGGCCCUUUUGGGACAGACCUUCUCCUUGGCCUCAUCCUUUCGACAAGAGAAGAUCUUGGAGGCUGUUGGCCUCCAAGACAUUGCUCCCUCUCCAGCCGCAUUCCCAAACUUCGAGGACUCCACUCUGUUCGGGAGGGAGUACAUCGAUCACCUGAAGGCCUGGCUGGUCAGCAGUGGGUUUCCGCUGCAGAUCAAGAAGGCGGAACCUGAGCUGCAUCAAGAGGAAGAAAAAACUGUUCCUCCUACGAGUGAGGAAACUCAGGCCAGUGCUCCAUGUGGUCUGAGUGAUGUGGUACCCCAACGAGCAGAUCACAAGGUGGUGGACGCCAUUGACCAGCUGGUCUCGCGCAUCAUCGGAGGCAGCCUGUCCCCCAGAGAGAGAGCCCUCCUCAGGGAGGACCCUGCUUACUGGUUUCUGUCUGAUGACCGCAGCCUGGAGUACAAGUACUAUAAGCUGAAGCUGGCUGAAGUGCAGCGGAAGAGCCAGACCUCAGCAGGAGCAGAUGGGAACCCCCUGGCUGCAGAGUGUGCAGUCCGAGCCAUGCUGUAUGCGCGGGCUGUCCGGGGCCUCAAGAAGAGGCUCCUCCCAGGGCGUCGGCGCGGACUGCUGCGUGCCCAAGGGCUGCGGGGCUGGAAGGCAAGGAGAGUGACCACUGGCACCCAGACCCUCCUCUCCUCGGGCACCAGACUGAAGCACCAUGGCCAGCAGGGCCCAGGCGCCCCGCCAGGAAAGCAACUACCCCACCUGGACAGAAGCAAUGAUGCCAAAGCCUGCCCUGACCCAGCGGGGCCCUCUCCUCUGAAGCCCAGCCCAGGAGCCUCAGCAGGACUGGCCAUCUCCGAUGCACCUCAGCCCUCCUCGCCCAGAUCUGCUGAUGUUGACAUGAAGACAAUGGAGACUGCAGAGAAACUGGCCAAGUUUGUCGCUCAGGUGGGGCCGGAGAUUGAACAAUUCAGCAUAGAAAAUAGCACUGACAACCCUGACCUUUGGUUUCUCCAUGACCAGAACAGCUCAGCUUUCAAAUUCUAUCGUCAGAAAGUCUUGGAGCUGUGCCCCUCGAUUUGUUUCCCCUCGGCUCCUCGGAGCGUUCACGCUGGUGAGCAGGAGGAUGGGCAGUGGUGUGCCCUGGAUCCCAAGUCUGAGGGGGAGCCCCCACAGCAGGAGGACAAGCUGGACAGCCCAGAGCCUAUGCCUGAGGAGGAGGAAGAGAGAGAGGAGGACGGAGGCGUCCCAAGGCCUACAGGAGUCGUGGCCAAGUCAGAGGGCUCUGAGGGCAGCCCCCCUACCGAUUGCAUCCCGAGCGAGGCAGCCGACGAGGGCCCAGCAGGCUCGGCAACGUCGUCCCAGGCUGCGCCAGGGGCCUGCUUUCCCCGGAAGAGGGUCAGCAGCAAGUCCCUGAAGGUGGGCAUGAUUCCAGCCCCCAAGAGAUUAUGUCUCAUCCAGGAGCCCAAAGUCCAUGAACCGGUUCGCAUCGCUUACGACAGGCCACAGGGACAACCCAUGUCCACUGAGAAGAAACCCAAGGACCUGGAGUUUGCUCAGCAGAAGCUGACGGGCAAGAACUUGGGCUUCCAGAUGCUGCAGAAGAUGGGCUGGAAGGAGGGCCACGGCCUGGGCUCCUGCAGCGAGGGCAUCAGGGACCCCGUCAGCGUGGCAACUGCCUCAGAAGGGACAGGCUUGGGCACCGCCGGGCAGGAACACCAGGAAGACACGUUUGAUGAGUUCCGCCAGCGGAUGAUGCAGAUGUACAGACACAAGCGAGCCAACAAAUAGAUCAGAGCCAUUGGUGAGAGAGAUCAGGCUCGAAGCAGCAAUUACUUUAAAACGCCACCUCCGCCUGCAGCCGCCCUGGAGCCAGUGCCCACUUACGGUUUGCUCCAGACUCUCCCAAGGACAGCGGCUUCUGGGAGCAGCUCAUCUCUUCGAGUGCUUACGUUUCUGGCUUGUUUCCAGCCCAGGCAUCAUCUGCCAACUCAAGUGUUCGGGGGCCUCGGGCAAACCUAGAAGAUAUUUUGUGCUGUUCCGGAAUGAGAGUUUCAGGUGUUUCUGUUUGUUUCCGGCUCUAAGGAUUGUGGAUGUUGUGAAUGUCGCUCACCGUGCGCAGUCGCAAUAAACCUAGAGGAAACCA